GCAUAUCAAUAAGCGGAGGAAAAAGAAACCAACAGGGAUUGCCCUAGUAACGGCGAGUGAAGCGGCAUCAGCUCAAAUUUGAAAUCUGGCUCUUUCAGGGUCCGAGUUGUAAUUUGCAGAGGGCGCUUUGGUGUUGGCAGCGGUCCAAGUUCCUUGGAACAGGACGUCACAGAGGGUGAGAAUCCCGUACGUGGUCGCUGGCCUUCGCCGUGUAAAGCCCCUUCGACGAGUCGAGUUGUUUGGGAAUGCAGCUCUAAAUGGGAGGUAAAUUUCUUCUAAAGCUAAAUACUGGCCAGAGACCGAUAGCGCACAAGUAGAGUGAUCGAAAGAUGAAAAGCACUUUGGAAAGAGAGUCAAAUAGCACGUGAAAUUGUUGAAAGGGAAGCGCUUGCAGCCAGACUUGCCUGUAGUUGCUCAUCUAGGCUCUUUGCCUAGUGCACUCUUCUGCGGGCAGGCCAGCAUCAGUCUAGGCGGUUGGAUAAAGGCCUCUGUCAUGUACCUCCUCUCGGGGAGGCCUUAUAGGGGAGGCGUAAUGCAACCAGCCUGGACUGAGGUCCGCGCAUCUGCUAGGAUGCUGGCGUAAUGGCUGUAAGCGGCCCGUCUUGAAACACGGACCAAGGAGUCUAACAUCUAUGCGAGUGUUUGGGUGUCAAGCCCGAGCGCGUAAUGAAAGUGAACGGAGGUGGGAUCCCUUUAGGGUGCACCAUCGACCGAUCCUGAUGUCUUCGGAUGGAUUUGAGUAAGAGCAUGGCUGUUGGGACCCGAAAGAUGGUGAACUAUGCUUGAAUAGGGUGAAGCCAGAGGAAACUCUGGUGGAGGCUCGCAGCGGUUCUGACGUGCAAAUCGAUCGUCAAAUUUGGGCAUAGGGGCGAAAGACUAAUCGAACUAUCUAGUAGCUGGUUCCUGCCGAAG
rnacentral:rRNA from 1 species